CUGUGGAAGUUCCAUGUGGC
rnacentral:misc_RNA from 1 species